UAGGGAAUCUUCCGCAAUGGGCGAAAGCCUGACGGAGCAACGCCGCGUGAGUGAUGAAGGUCUUCGGAUCGUAAAACUCUGUUAUUAGGGAAGAACAAAUGUGUAAGUAACUAUGCACGUCUUGACGGUACCUAAUCAGAAAGCCACGGCUAACUACGUGCCAGCAGCCGCGGUAAUACGUAGGUGGCAAGCGCUAUCCGGAAUUAUUGGGCGUAAAGCGCGCGUAGGCGGUUUUUUAAGUCUGAUGUGAAAGCCCACGGCUCAACCGUGGAGGGUCAUUGGAAACUGGAAAACUUGAGUGCAGAAGAGGAAAGUGGAAUUCCAUGUGUAGCGGUGAAAUGCGCAGAGAUAUGGAGGAACACCAGUGGCGAAGGCGACUUUCUGGUCUGUAACUGACGCUGAUGUGCGAAAGCGGGGGGAUCAAACAGG
rnacentral:rRNA from 1 species